rnacentral:rRNA from 1 species
AACGAACGCUGGCGGCAUGCCUAACACAUGCAAGUCGAACGAGACCUUCGGGUCUAGUGGCGCACGGGUGCGUAACGCGUGGGAAUCUGCCCUUGGGUUCGGAAUAACAGUUAGAAAUGACUGCUAAUACCGGAUGAUGACUUCGGUCCAAAGAUUUAUCGCCCAGGGAUGAGCCCGCGUCAGAUUAGCUAGUUGGUAGGGUAAAGGCCUACCAAGGCGACGAUCCGUAGCUGGUCUGAGAGGAUGAUCAGCCACACUGGGACUGAGACACGGCCCAGACUCCUACGGGAGGCAGCAGUGGGGAAUAUUGGACAAUGGGCGAAAGCCUGAUCCAGCAAUGCCGCGUGAGUGAUGAAGGCCUUAGGGUUGUAAAGCUCUUUUACCCGGGAUGAUAAUGACAGUACCGGGAGAAUAAGCCCCGGCUAACUCCGUGCCAGCCGCCGCCGUAAGAC